rnacentral:rRNA from 1 species
CCUACGGGGGGCAGCAGUGGGGAAUCUUCCGCAAUGGGCGCAAGCCUGACGGAGCAACGCCGCGUGAGUGAAGAAGGUCUUCGGAUCGUAAAGCUCUGUUGACGGGGACGAACGUGCGAGAGGUGAAUAAUCUCUUGCAAUGACGGUACCUGUCGAGGAAGCCACGGCUAACUACGUGCCAGCAGCCGCGGUAAUACGUAGGUGGCGAGCGUUGUCCGGAAUCAUUGGGCGUAAAGGGAGCGCAGGCGGGCAUGUAAGUCUUUCUUAAAAGUUCGGGGCUCAACCCCGUGAUGGGAAAGAAACUACAUGUCUUGAGUACAGGAGAGGAAAGCGGAAUUCCCAGUGUAGCGGUGAAAUGCGUAGAUAUUGGGAGGAACACCAGUGGCGAAGGCGGCUUUCUGGACUGCAACUGACGCUGAGGCUCGAAAGCCAGGGGAGCGAACGGGAUUAGAUACCCCUGUAGUC